CACUGCUGCUCCACUAAUAACAAGGAAGGCCGGGAAAGGGUGCGGGGCAUUCCCACCUGGUUUAAUUGCCACCAGGUUUAAUUGCUGCCUCACGUAAUUACGGACAAGGUAGCUCAGCUGUAGUUGGUUGUGAGGUCCUGAUUGGAAGGGCUUCUAAAAAGAGACUGGGGAUAAAAGAGGGUCAUUUGGCCCCAGCUGGUACUUCUGCUCCUGUUUUCUUCUCAGCUUUUCAAUCUGGAAGCCCUUGGAUGGCAAACUGUGUUUGACCAGGACUGUUAUUUGCACAUUCUGCUUUUGAAGAGAUUUGCUUUUCAUUGAGAGGACUGUAAAACAUGGGUGACAACCGGUGCAGUAAGCAGCUGAUGUGGAAGUGGAUCCCUUGCUGGUGUUGGAGAGUGGCCAGAGAGCUUCAGAGAGGAGUAGAAGCUUUGGAUGCAGAGCACACAUCUUCUACCUGCUGGGCUGGGGAUGCUGACCAAGCGCUGGGCUCCUGCCCUUCUACUGAGCAGGAGGGUUGUGCUGGAUCUUGAGCCACCCCAUGUCCUCUUGUAGGGCAGCACCUCUGGUGGUGAGUUACCUCAUAGCAGCUGUGAGUGUUUGGAGUAUUUCUUGGGCAAGAAAACAUCCCCAGAAUACAUAUCAUCCCUUUUUGUUGUAUGCUGCGUAAUGGGAAUGUAACUUAUUGCCACUGGAGAGUGUUUGGCAGCUACCAUCCAUCCUAGAUUCCAAUUGACUCUGCUUGCGCUUAAACAAAAGUAAAGGAUGUACAGGCAAACAAUGAUUAUAAUUGGAACAACAAGAGGGGUAUUUUGAUUAAUCACAGUUUGAAUAUCAACUGGGCGUAAUGCAGGUUUCCCCUGUAUAGACAGAAGCCCCACAUUGUGUGCCUGUCUCACGUUUACAGCAGCUGAAUAA